rnacentral:rRNA from 1 species
UACGUAGGGGGCGAGCGUUGUCCGGAUUUAUUGGGCGUAAAGCGCGUGUAGGCGGCUUUGCAAGUCGGGUGUGAAAUCCCUCGGCUUAACCGAGGAACUGCCGUCCAAACUGCUUUGCUUGAGACCGGGAGAGGUGAGUGGAAUUCCCAGUGUAGCGGUGAAAUGCGUAGAUAUUGGGAGGAACACCAGUGGCGAAGGCGGCUCACUGGACCGGUACUGACGCUGAUGCGCGAAAGCGUGGGGAGCAAACGGG